GUAUCUAUUAUUUCAGCUCUAUUUUAAAAUUUUGUUAGUAUUUUAUAGUUGGACAAUUCACUAAAGAAGAAGAGAAAUAAGCCAAAUUCUAAACCAUCAUCGAUAAGCAGAUGCACCCAACUGGCCUUGGUUGAAACUGCAGAUGCACUCCACUACACUUGGUGGAAACAGCAGAUGCACCCUACUGGACUUGGUGGAAACAGCAGAUGCACCCAACAGGACUUGGUGGAAACAGCAGAUGCACUCCACUGGACUUGGUGGAAACAGCAGAUGCACCCAACAGGACAUGGUGGAAACAGCAGAUGCACCCAACUGGACAUGGUGGAAACAGCAGAUGCACUCCACUGGACUUGGUGGAAACAGCAGAUGCACCCAACUGGACAUGGCAGAAACAGCAGAUGCACCCAACUGGACUUGGUGGAUACAGCAGAUGCGCCAACUGGACUUGGUGGAUACAGAAGAUGGACCCAACAGGACAUGGUGGAUACAACUGGAGGAGACUUGUCUGAUGAUAUUGACCUUCCCAACAAGACAUAUCAAAGGAGAUAACUGACACUGAUCAGCUUGGCUUAUUUUUAGCUAUACUGGUCAGAGACAAUAAGAAAGCUUGUGAUAGUAAACAAGGACAUGGCAUGGUGGAAACAGCUGGAGGAGGCAGAGCCAAUGAAUGCUAAUCUUCCAAGAUGUGAAAACAGCAGAUGUUCUCAACAAGACAUGUGUAACAGCAGAUGCACCCAACUGGACACUGAUAGAAACAACUGGAUGAUGCAUAGCCAGUACAUGCUGAUCUUCCAAGAUGUGGAAACAGCAAAUGCAUCCAAGAGUACAUGGUGAAAACAGUAGAUGCACCCAAAAGGACAUGAUAGAAACAACUUGAGGAUGAAUAGCCAAAGGAUGCUGAUCUGACAUUUAUCAGCUGCAGCAAACAGAACCAUGGGGAAACCGCUAGAAUAGACAAGCUUGAGGAGGCAAGGCCAAUGAAUAUUGAGGCAAACUUUAUUGACAAUGAUUUUUCAAAUAUGUGAAAACACCAACUACACCCAAAAGAUAUUAGUGGAAACAACUAAAACAGACAAGCCUGAUGGACACUGUAUGGUCUUCAAGAUGUGGAAACAGCAGAUGCACCCGACAAGACUUGGUGGAUUAUACAACUGGAGGAGACUUGCUAAUGGAGGUUGACUUAUCCACCAAGACAUACCACAGUGGAUAGCUCAUACUGAUCAGGUUUAAGAUUUGGAGAACAGACUAAAGAGGGAAUGAAACUGGAUUCAUGUCAUUGUGGAUUUUCUUGACCAUAUCAAGGAUGAGAAUCAUUCAGAAAAUAAAGAAAUUUUUAGAAGUAACAUAUGUGGAUGAAGAAGCAGGACUUAAUUAAUGCAGGAUCAAUCCAAAUCUUCAAAGCACUGAUG